rnacentral:rRNA from 1 species
UACGAAGGGGGCUAGCGUUGCUCGGAAUCACUGGGCGUAAAGGGUGCGUAGGCGGGUUUUUAAGUCAGGGGUGAAAUCCUGGAGCUCAACUCCAGAACUGCCUUUGAUACUGAGGAUCUUGAGUUCGGGAGAGGUGAGUGGAACUGCGAGUGUAGAGGUGAAAUUCGUAGAUAUUCGCAAGAACACCAGUGGCGAAGGCGGCUCACUGGCCCGGUACUGACGCUGAGGUGCGAAAGCGUGGGGAGCAAACAGGG